rnacentral:misc_RNA from 1 species
CUGACUCUGCUCGCGUGGCUCUUGUAGUUGUAGUCUUGUUUAAAUGUUUAUGCUUAACUUGCUGAAAAUUCAAAGAGGAAAGUGAAAACCACGAAAUUCAUUCUAGUUUCUUGAUAAGUACAAAAUAAUUAACUAAUAAAUGACAAGCAAAAGUCAUCUCGCACGUAUCGAAUCAGUGAUUGGCAUCACUCGCAUGGGCAUUUGGUGUGGAAUAUUCCACAAAAUUGAAUUAGUCUUAAACAGAACGAUGCAAUAUUUUUUGGUGUUGAAAGUCAUUUCAUCAACUACGGCGGAGGCCAACGGAAGAUUCCACAGCUGUGCAUCGAUUGUGAGAAAAUAGGCGGGUUGAGGGUGAGAAAAUCCAUUGGAGCCGGCUGUAAUCCUACCAGUGUCAAGCUGCAUGGCUCGCCGAUCCUUUCACCGGUUAUCGACGCGCCUUGUUGUGUUAGUAACUCUGAUCUAAAUUUUCCUUUCUCUUCCUUUGACGCCUUCGCUUUUAUUAGACGUGACAACCUUCGUCGACAUGCAAGUGGCCGGGCGUGUCCUAAACUCCUAUUAACUUGCCCGUCAAAAGAACUGAUUUAGCCUACUGACAACACUGACCAAAUCAGCAUCGCUUCCAUUAUUCUGAUCAAGGAGGCCCAACUUACCAAGCAACGACCGUCCAGAACGGGCAUGUCGAAUAAUCCUUCAACAAGCCACAACUUUGCCGUCAUUUUAAAAGCGGAAAUGGCCAUUCGAUCGCUUCCAUCCAGCGGCAAGGGUAGACUUCCAAUCCUCUUUCGAUGUCAUUCAGCGAUUGGUCCAGCAGGAGGCGCCUCUGGAUGACUUCCCGGGUGGACGCCAAAUCCCGUCCGUUUAUCUUCUCCAGGACGGCGAAGAUUUUCUGGUAAUUCUCCUGGCCCAUUUGCCAGAAGAGCUCGUCGAAGGAGAAAUCGUCCUCGUCCUGCUGCUCGUUGGAAGCGUAGAGAACGGAAUUGUCGAAUUUGCUGUAGGCGAUUCCGCCGGCCGACGUCACGGGAAAUUUGGCGGAUGCGCAGGCCUCAACCACUGGCGGAUGGGCCAUGUCGGCGAAUGUCACCAGCAGGCGGAUGUUAUCCUUGACGUCUCUGCCAAACAGCGAGAGAACCGAGUCGAGGAUGUAGGGAUGCAUCGACGUCGACCGGAUGUCGUUGAAUGCGGCCACGAAGUAGACGGCGUGAAUUUGAUCGACUCCGAACUGUUACUGGAAAACUGAAACUUAACUCAACUGAAGACUUAUUGGCACUUCGCCGCCCGUAAAUAUAUAAGGGGACUGGACCUUUCUGCCCACAUGCCGCCCACUUUCUUUCAUCUAUUAUAUAUUCAACUCGUGCGGACUCAUCCUUUAUUUUAUAACUGGGCGUACUAUGUGUGCGGGCUUUGAGCGACGUUUGACUGAAAUCAUACGGUGGUUCAGAGCGAAUUGAAUACGAGGCCGCGCUGUCCGAGACCAAGUCGGCGAUGGUAAACUGUUGGCAGCCAUCCGGAUGGCGCGCUGCGAAUGUGAUCUAUGAUCCCCCACCAUAUAGAACUUCUCCGUCGUCCAUCCAGCGCCCAAUGCCACCACGUCCGCAAUCGUGUAGACUGCUGUAGAGAGUAAUUGUAUGCGCAUCUUGUAUUGAAUUCGAAAAGCGUUUGAUUGUAACAUCUUUUUUUCUGAAAUGUUGAUGUUUGUGAAAAUUUCCGGUUUUGUUGUUGUUGAGGAUUAUUUGACUCAUCACUCUAUCAAGUAUCAACUCGGCUUUUUUCCCCAUCAUCGGCGACCGUAAAAAUCGGCCAACGGCAGAUAUCCCGCGGAGCCGAUCCGCACAUAUCUGAUAAAACAGCAGAAAAAAUCCAAUAAAACAAAAAAACAAAAACAGUGUGUGUGUGUGUGUGUGUGUGUGUGU